GCCUACGGCCAUACCACCCUGAGAACGCCCGAUCUCGUCUGAUCUCGGAAGCUAAGCAGGGUCGGGCCUGGUUAGUACUCGGAUGGGAGACCGCCUGGGAAUACCAGGUGCUGUAAACU
ensembl:rRNA 5S_rRNA 5S ribosomal RNA